rnacentral:rRNA from 1 species
CUGGCGGCAGGCUUACAACUUGCUUCUCGAGCGNCCUCUUCGCAGGGAUGUCCCAGACGGGUGAGUAACGCGUGGGAACCUGCCCUUCGGUGCGGAAUAACCCUGGGAAACUGGUGGUAAUACCGUAUACGCCCUCCGGUGUGAAAGAUUUAUCGCCUUAAGGAUCGGCCCUGCGUUAGAUUAGCUAGUUGGUGGGGUAAAGGCCUACCAUGGCGCACGAAUCUAUAGCUGUUUCUGAGAGGAAGAUCAGCCACACUGGGACUGAGACACGGCCCCAGACUCCUACGGGAGGCAGCAGUGGGGAAUAUUGGACAAUGGGCGAAAGCCUGAUCCACCACCAUGCCGCGUGNAUGAAGAAGGCCCUAGGGUUGUAAAGCCCUUUCUCCAAUGGUGAAGAUAAUGACGGUAACCAGAGAAGACAGCCCCGGCUAAUUUCGUGCCAGCAGCCGCGGUAAUACGAAAGGAGCUAGCGUUGUUCGGAAUUACUGGGCGUAAAGCGCACGUAGGCGGCCUUGUAAGU